rnacentral:rRNA from 1 species
UGUAUUUGCGGGCGAGCGUGCGGGGUAAUACGUAGGGGGCCAGUGGUGACCGGAAUUAGUGGGCGGAAAGUGCUCGUAGGCGGCCUGUGGCGUCGGCUGUGAAAUCCCGGGGCUUAACCCCGGGCGUGCAGGUGAGACGGGCUGGCUGGAGGCAGGCAGGGGAGAAUGGAAUUCCCGGUGUAGCGGUGAAAUGCGCAGAUAUCGGGAGGAACACCGGUGGCGAAGGCGGUUCUCUGGGCCUGUGCUGACGCUGAGGAGCGAAAGCGUGGGGAGCGAACAGGAUUAGAUACCCCAGUAGUC